rnacentral:tRNA from 1 species
GUCCUUGUAGUUUAAUGGAUAGAAUGCUGGCCUCCGAAGCCGGUGAUACAGGUUCGAUUCCUGUCAGGGACA